GAUGAACUCAUUGAAAGUUUAUGUAGUGUCUACCAAAUGGUCAUACUAGCAGAGUCCAGCAGUGUCCAGAUACUCAGAAAGAAGAAGUGAACUUUGUUGGCUCCUGUGUCAGGCAUUUCUCACCUGGGCUAAAAGCUUUCUCGGCUCUUGAGAGGGAGCUUUCCAUCAGAGAAUGAAACCAAUACAAAGGAAGACAGAGCUGAACUUUGAGAACAAGAAUGCAUGGACGGCACAAUUUUAGGUCUAGAAAGAGCGACAAGUGAUAACAUCAGAGGCCUGGAUUUCCCAUUCAGACAAACCAGUACAUUCCCUUCCCUCUUCAGCUACUUGAAAGUAGAUAUAUUUCAUUUGCAAUUGAGUCCUAAAUAAUGAUAACUUUAUCUUAUAGGAGUAAGGUUUUGUAAAUAACAUCUGUAAAUGUAGUGCCAGAUGAAGCACAGGGGCUAUGCAGAACAAAGAAUUCCUCUUCUUAGUGGUCGAGAAGUCAGAAAACACUUAAGUCUAAGAUGACUGAUAUUGCUACAGUGUCUUCAGGCUCAAGCCAUGUCCUGGAGAAGGAAGACAAUAAUGCUAGAGAAGACUGUUCAUUUCUUAUGGCCAUUGUUCAUUUCUUAUGGCCAUUGUUGAUGUGCUAUGAGACAGCAAUGAGCUAAAUGGAAAUCAAAGAGCUUUUCUCAGAAAAGUCCAUCUUGUAUUAGCCAGCAGUCCUGGUUUACUGAGAAGAACCACAUGACAAGCCCAAUUCUCUACACCAAGUUACACUCGACAUAAGUGAGGUUUAAAGAAAGUUAACAAGUAGAAGGAGAAAAACUUGGAACCCAGAAGCAUAUUUCUCAUCAUCACCUUCCAAACGCACUCUCUUUUAUAAAAUUAAAAGCUAUUCUCAGGGGUGUAAGAGAAAACAGGAAGCUUUCAUCUUACCUCUUCAUCCUAUUACAUGGUGAACUUAGAAAAUAGAAUAAAGAUGUCCUGUUGCCAAGGAGAAGACAAUGUCAGACAAUGGUGUAGAUCCAAUGGCCAGCCACCCUCAGUGUGGAUUUGACUCAACAUUUAUCAACCAACAUCUCAGUAGGAUUCAAGAAAACCAUGAUGUAUGUAUUGAUUUGUUUUAUUGCCAACUCAAUACAAUCUAGAACUACUGGGAAGAGAGACCCUUGACUGAAUUGUAUGAUCAAGUUAGUUUUGUCUGUGGCCAAGAAUGGUCUUGAUUACUGACUGAUGUGGGAGUCAGAGGAUAUCCCACUGCGGGCAGCAUCAUCCCUAGAAUCAUGGGCCGAAGUUAUAUAAGAAGAUAACAUUCAGAAAUCCAUGGAGGGAGCCAAAAAGAAGUGUUUCUCUACAUUCUUCCCAGCUUCCUGCCUUGAGUUCCUGCCCUGAUUUCCCUCAGUGAUGGACUGUGAAGUGAAAACUGAAAUAAACCCUUUCUUCCCCAGAUUGCUUUGGUCAAAAUGUUUUUUGACUAAAAAACAUAGCAACAAUAACAAAAAGCAAACUGGAACAAUUUACAACAUGGGUAGUCAACCACUGGGAUAGUCACAGGCUGGUGAAUUCAUUACUAGAAAGUGAGAGGCCCUAAGAAGGCAAGUUAACCAUUGUGUCUCUUAAUGCUGGUCAUGGAGUCCAGAAAGGAGAGUUCCUGCUGAUCAACAGACCCAGGGAAAGCCAGGCUGGCCACUCAGGCCCUCAGAGUUGAGGUGUAUUGGUUGGCUCUGUCCUCUGCACUGUGUUCCUGGCGGUAUAUGUUCUGCUUUCCUGUCUUCUUUUUCCAAGAGGGAGCUUUAAUUGCAUUUUUUUUCUCUCUCUCUACCAUUGUGUAGCAUAUGUGUUGGGGAAGAAGUGAGAAAAAGGUUAUUCAGCCAUAAGUUUCCACAAGCAAGAACUAGAACUAUCCAUAUCAGAAGUUUAACCACAGAAAACCCAAUUCUUGAAGUAGAAGAAACUGAUGUGAUGCGGGAAUUAAGAGCCGUGGCUGGCUGUGGAGUCUUAUUACUGAUCUACCAUCUACUCGGUAGCUGAGUGACUUUGGCCAACUUAUACCUUUUCACUGUGCCUCAGUUUCUUUACACAUAAAACAUGGAGAUUGGAAAUAGGAAUCAAAAAUAGCAAUUCCUCCAAAGAAAG